rnacentral:rRNA from 1 species
UACGUAGGGUGCGAGCGUUGUCCGGAAUUAUUGGGCGUAAAGGGCUCGUAGGCGGUUUGUCGCGUCGGGAGUGAAAUCCACUGGCUUAACUGGUGGCUUGCUUUCGAUACGGGCAGACUGGAGGUAUGCAGGGGAGAACGGAAUUCCUGGUGUAGCGGUGAAAUGCGCAGAUAUCAGGAGGAACACCGGUGGCGAAGGCGCACACCUGGCCCGAUACUGACGCUGAGGCGCGAAAGCUAGGGGAGCAAACGGG